GCUCUUUCUAUUCCCGCUCUGGACCCCUCAAAGCGAGCGGCGAGAGAGCGAGCUGCUCAUUCCUCCCUCGUUCUCUCCAUCUAUAACAGCCUGAGUUGUGACAAUUCAAUCUGUUCAGCGUCUCCCCGCAUGAAUUAUGGAUGAACCCUGCAACCUCUGAAUGUGGAGGGGAUUUACGCUUUAUAACUGCUGCUGCUCGUGUCACGGGCUCAAUGAGGAUUUGAAAGAGGUUGGGGGGGAAAAAUUUAAGGUAAUUCAGAGCGCAUCAAAUCAGUUGAAAUGCCAGUAUUAAUAUCCUCUGAUGGCCGAGCACUGAUUCACUCUUGUGUGCUGAAAGCCAUUAGCAAAGCUCAUUGGGAGAGGGCAGGGCUGUGACUUCUCUGAUAAGCAAUUACUGGAGCAUCAUUCUGUCCUGAUGAACUGCUAUGAGAAAGCGGCUCCCACAGGUCGAAUAAACAGAGAGAUCCCAUCAAGACUCCUUAGAGGUACAACAGGAUACCAGCCUGUUCAUGGAGAUGAUCAAAUAUUGAUGCUCUGCUGCUGCUUUCAUUCAAUCCAGAUCACCUUUUAGUGUGUUUUCUUCCACUCCAACUCCGGGCUGAUGUUAAACAGACUCUCUGCUCAGUUCUAGGUGUAAAAGGACUCCGUUUUGGGCUCUGCUUUAGCUGCUUUUGGUAGAGCUUGUGCCUCAUAUACACUUGUGAGUUGUAGUUAUGUCAGCAUGGUGUUCAGCUAUUGCUCACAGCUCUUUGCUGCAAUUUAUUUCUAGUCUUUUUCCCAGAUUAAUAUCAAUAUCUAAUAUUUUGACCCGCUGACAUUGGUUAAAGGACCGUGCUUUCAGUUUAUCAUCCAGUUUCUCUCUCUGAAGGCCAGCACCGAUGACUAAACCCUGAGUUUUGUUCUGGUUGAGCUGUAAAAAGCUCAUGACUCCAUAUCUAAAAUACAGUUAGAUAGUGUACCGAUAGUGUCAUCAGGAGACACGCCAAUAUAGAGCUGUGUGUCAUCUGCAUAGAAGUUGAUCCUGUUUCUCCUGAUUUCAUUUCCAAGUUGUGACAUUUCACAUUAUAACAUAAUUCCAAUUAUUGAUUUUGAGUGCACCUGUUUUGAACGCACAUAUACAGAGGCUACAUUGGCCUUCCCAUGAUCCUCAGCGACAGUUACCAUGGUGAAAGAUGCCUCAGAGCGCUUCAAGCGCCAAAAUCUUCCGUUGUAACAGAGCUCUGGUUGUCAUUUUUUCUACAGUCGUAUCUUCCUCCUUCACUGUGACCGAUACGAUACGUAGGAUGCAUCCGUCUCCAUGACAACAGGUUAGCCUUUCUCUACCACUCUGGCCUGGACGUUUUGGUUAUAUAGAAAAACAAAUAAACAAAAUGUUGACUCAUUUUUUUGGAUUGAAUGGAAUAAUUGAACAGACGGAUAAUACACCGACCAAAUUACUUCAUGUUACGUAAUGAAAGGUAACUUGACGUAACUUAACAUGUUGUAAUGAAAGUUUUUGGUAAUUUUUGUAACUUAACGAUACAGAAACUAAUGUUAUAAAAAGUUACAGAAGGUGACCUAAUGCAAAGUAAUCCGACCUUUUAAAACCAAACCUUACAAAACCUAACAUUACCCAUCUCCCGUUAGCUAAUCUUAACCUUUAGGUGUUAUAUAACCCAAAGUAAUGUGAGGUAUAUUUCAUGAAGAACAUAAAAUAAAGGUUCAGUUCAGGUCUGAGCUUUAUUGUCCCUGAGGGAAAACUAGGUUUACAGUUGUCAAUUCAAAAUGGUUCAUAACAAACAAUAUAGCGUUUAACCCGGCUAUGUAACACUGUGUAAAAAAUACAAUAUUACAUAACAAAUGUAAUAAACGUAACAUAAAGGAAUUCUUGGGUUAGAUAGAUAUCAUAAUGUAACAGGAAAUAUGGUUAUAGAGCAGAAAAGGAGGAAAACUGAAUAGAAGUGAAAUGAAUAGAAUGGAACAGCUGACAGGAGUGAAAUGGAACAGAUGGGAUCAGAUUAGAAAAGAGGUGAAAAGGACUGAAGAACAUGGGAUAGAAAAGAGACGAAUAACGGGGAAAAGAAUAGAUCUAAUUAUUUUCAAAAGCAUACAUUUGGCUUUGAGUAAAGCUCUUCAGCUGGUUCUGAUGGUACAUACUGUAUAUUUGUCAUGGUAGGCGGAUAUAAGAAUCUGAACAUGGUGUCACUUUGCAAAAGUACAUCUCUGUGCGGUGCAGACACCUCCUCUGCCUUUUUCUCUGAACUGAUCUGAGAUUAAAUUCAGAGAAAGCUCUCAUUCAAGGUUUGGAGUCAAGCAUCUGUGGUGUUAAAAACAAAACGAGGAUCACACUGACGACGUGCUCGACACGGCAGUAAUCACAUUCACUGCAUCUGCGAGUGGAGCCUUGAGAAGGAAUGCUUAAGAAAGAAAAAGGAGGAAGAGAGGAAUUCAACAAAAUCCUCCUCAAAGAAACAAUGAGCAGUUAUCUGAAGACGGGUUUCAGUUUCCAUUACAGACACACACAAAAAGACAGGAAGACAAAGAGCGCUGAGUGAGGGCGGAGACUUCGACUUGAAAGCUGAAAUUUAAUGACUCAAAAGAAAUCUUCAACCUGCCAGUUUGAGUUUCCUUCAACAGAGAAACUCCAGACAGAAAGAAGCUCUUUACUGCCCUCUACUGGUCACACGUCCCUGAUUCUCUGAACCCUCUGGGGGUUUUUGGAAGUGUGCUGUUACACCUGGAACCACACCCAGUUCAUCCUUUAAACCACACCUUAACACCCGCAGUAAAAGCAGCUUCAGUGAACCCUCUCUGAGAUUAGAGCUUUCAUGCAUCAGAGUGCAAUUUUAAAGUCCUGAUUGACGAUCUGAGAACCAGUUAAAAAAAUUAAGCCGUUGAGGCAGAUUUGAAAAAAGCGUUUCACCCCCCACACACAAACCUCUCCCCCAUGAACCUGUAUCGCCCUCCCCACGACACACCCCCUCUGGCAGAAGAUCCUACGCUAGCUUCAAAUAGGAUCCACCAUGUCGGAUUGUUAGUGACUUGCGGCGGUAAACGCCAGCUCUGCUUGCGAGCGCCGUCUGCAGCUGCCUGAACAGCUACCGUGUUGACAUGUCAGAGACUAAUCAGAGUUAUUUAUGUAACAUGAGCCACGAUAAAAGGAGAUAAAAAUGACCUGUUCAACAAAAACUCUGCUGUCUCAGCGUCUGUUUUCAGGACCAAAUCCUGGCGGAGCUUUCUCCACCGCUCCAAGGAUGACCCGAUGGUUAUUCACGUUAGAUUCCUCGCUUGGUCACAUUUCCUCUCCCACUUCACACUUUCUUCUGUCGGUUUGCAUUUUCGGUAAACAGAAGUGUUUUUUUUUCGCGUCCUUCUCCAUCAUAGCUCCUGUAGCUAAGCUGCUACGCUACUUUUAGCCGCUCAGAGCUCCGAGGAGGGCCGGGAGAGUGGGAGGGGAUGAGUCAGAACUACGGGAGAGGGGUGUGUCGAAUACAGUGAGUUGAUUGGAUAGAGAGGCGGAGCAGGAGAUUGACCAAUAGGAGCUGUCCGGGACAGAUGGCUCCCAUUGGUCAAUGUUUUUGCAGCCCUUCACCUGAUAGGGUGAUCGGAUUUUUUCUAUUCUUUUUUCUGUGACCAUCACACUAUAGGACCAUGAUCGCCAUAGAAACAAUGUUCAUAAUAAUUACCAAUCUCUCUAAUCGUCAACCAUGCCUUUAAGUAAAACUUUUAACAUUUUUAUAUGACAAAUAAAUGUGUUCACAGAGGUCGAUCACUGCAGGUUUAAAGCCUUUCCUGAUAUUUUUAACCUAAAUAGAGCCUGAGGUGUAGAUUUGUCAUCAGGUUUGAAACGUUGAGCAGUAAUCCUGAAUCAGACAGAAGGAGACUCUUUUUUUCUAUAUAUACUCUGUUCAGAUGAUCAGAGUGUCAAACCUUUAAAAGCCAAACACUUCGAGCAGAUUUUAUUUUCCUAUUUCUCUCACUCAGAGUGAAAAAAAAGCUGCUGCACUGAGACUGAACGGACUCUUAUUUUAUCGAUAAUCUUCACCAGUUUGUAGCCGAGCUGUUGGGCACCGUAACAAUCUUGAUCCUGGUUAUUUAUGUGAUUGUCGUGGAGAGUUUCCAUGCUGUUAAUGUCUGGAUUUUCUCUCUCCGGGUCUCCACUGGAAAUGAUGAACUGCAUCAGGCUUUGAACUGCAUUAUUCUUGUUGGAGAGAAUCAGAGAAACCACAGGAAGCUUCUUGAGUUACCCUUCAAAACAAAAGAGCCGGGCAUGGAGGCAGAACAUGCUGUUAUCUACCUCCUGUAAAGAUCACUCUCUUGACUGGGAGGAUCAUGUUGGAUGAUCACAGACAGCCUGUGCGUCUAACCCGGGAUUUCCUCCACAUCCGAUUUUUGCCGUCCAUCAAUUCCUACCAGAUCCCUUUGUGAGGCGAAUUUCAUGGUGGAUUAUGGACAGCAGGAAUCGCAAGAGCUAACAAGAACCCACAGAUUCACAUGAAAUUGUGCGAUGACGAGUUGUCUCUAUAAAGACAGACACAUAGACAUACAAGCAGUAGAUUGUGUCCUUCCAGAGGAGGAAAUCUACUUCUAGACUUCUAGAAUCAGCAUCUCCUCAUCCAUGGUGUCAUCGGGGUGAAAUGACGUCUAAAAACCUUUCACUUGUUCGUCUCCGCCCGUUUGCAUGGUGUGAAAUAUGAUCCUCCUGAAACACCGAGUGUUUUAUUUUGAAAAGAUACCGGAUGUUUUAUUUUGUGUCUGUGCCUGACUUCCUUUCCAGCACGGGUUAAUCUGUGCUGAAUUUAUCCGCCACGCUCCGGCGUCCAGAAAAAAUAGAACUCUUGUGAUCAGCUGAGGAGUCCGGCGAUCCGCAGAGGAACGGACAGAAGUCGGUGGAAAUCGACACGUUAACUUGAAUGGUUACGAUCAGCUACGAUCGGAGGAUACGGUCUUUUCGUAGACGCUCCGGAUGUGGUGGAAAUUGGGGGUUAGAGACAAAGUGCAGCACACAGGACUGGACCACCACCAUCACACAACAAGCUGAUAUCUGCAGAAGUUCUCGGACGACACCGCCUCAUCACCAAUGAUGACAGGAGCGAGUACCAAGAACUGAACCUAAACUUUCUGGACUGGAAUCUUUGGAUCAAGACAGGAAAAAAAAUAAAAAAUAAAAACAAGGAACUGGUGGUAACUUUCUGCAGAGACCCACCCCUCCCACACUGGUGAACAUUCAGGGGAGGGUCUAGAGAUUGUGGACUCUUAGAAGUACCAGGAUGUUCACCUGAACAGUAACCUGGACUGGACUACCAACACAAACUCACUCUACAGGAAAGGCCAAAGUAGACUCCACCUCCUGAGGAAGCUGAGGUCCUGUGGGGUCAGGGAGAUCUCCUGAAGUCCUGUCAUGACUCUGUGGAGGCCUCAGCCGUCUCCUGUGGAGUGGUCUACUGGAGCAGCAGAAUCACAGACUGAACAAAGUGGUGUCUGUUCCCAUCAUGCAACAGUCCACCAACUCCAAC
rnacentral:lncRNA from 1 species